AAUCUGACCAACACGUGUUGUGGAACCCGGCAUACUGGAAGUGCUCAUUACCUCUAGAUCAACAAUGGUUGUUGUGUAGAAGCUUCUUGUUCUUUAAUGCAACACAAAGGAGGGAUUCCAAAAUGGCCUCGGUAUUGGUCACUGUGAGGCACGACGUAUCUCAGCAAUAUGCCGAUGAUGCAGCCCUAUCGUCCUACUUUCCCUUCCGAUAAAAGCACCAGCUGAUCCUUGGAGUCCAACUGAAAGAGGGGACUAACUUACACCCAACAUGGAGGCUGGCAUAAAUCUGGAGAAAAGGUUCCGACUGAGACAGACACAAGCGAGUUGGACACCGAAUGAAGAAGACAUGCAAAAGGGGAGCCGUGUGACUAGACUCUCACAUCGGAGCCUCGAAAGCGAGGAGAGCUGUGAGUGAUGGCGGAGACGCCGUCCAACGGGAAGAUGAGCGAAUCCCAGUCAUAAAUAUUUACACUGAGAACAGACAGGAGCCAUUUCAGAUGUGUGGUUAUGUUUUUGUCAAACGGAUUAUAAAAGAAAGCAUCGGGUCAAAGAGAGUGCAGCUGUCAUUCAGAGGUUGUGCGUUAAAUUUUCAGUCGCUGACUAUGAUUCAAAGUGAGAGAAACGGAUGUGAAGAAUCCCUUUUAUUUGCUAACUUAUUUGUUUGUUUGUUCACAUAAGUUCACAUAACCCUUACAUACUUACACAAUGCAUAUUUCAUCACUUGACGAGAGAUGGUCAUUGUGUUUGUGUGUGUGUGCAACAUUGACCACAAUUCAAUAAUGUUUACAUCUUAUUCUUUAAAUCCCGAUCGAGCCCCUAUAGAGAGAGUAGGGUCUGGAUAUUAACGCUUCAUAUGUCCCUUGUGUGUCUGCAUGCAUGAGCUCUGUGAGGAUCAUGUGAUUGAACAGAACCUACAGUUGGUGCCUCUUGGUAUAAACUACAUGAAGAAGACCCAAGCGGUCGCUGAAAGGGUUAAACAGAUGAAGCCCCUCUCCCCCUAAAAGCUUCCAGAAGCCAGCCGCUCUGAGGGGAUCAGAGCUUUCAGACCACUUGUUGCUAAUAGAGGGAUAUUUACGGGAACAGAGAGAGAGUGUAACCUCGGGUCACUGCACUCUGCAACAACACUGACACUAAGACACACAGACAGCCUGUUCUGCUUUUACAGCACGAACAGACAGAUUCAAAAUAAAAGAGUGUGAAGCAAAGAGGAAAGCUGUGCUCAGACAGGCAGCAGGUUCAGUGCGGGUCGCUUUUGAUUAACAGAUAUCAGCAGGAGAAACGCGGCGAACACGGCAGGUGUUUGCAACCAGCUGUCAAGCAGAGGUGCCUGCACCUGCUGUGACAUCAUCGCUCAGGUGUGGCUGGUUGCGCAACAAUGCUCGAAUAUUUCGGCAUCGGGGAGAAUCCACUUUCUGUUUUUUUGAAUAGAAGGAACAGGUUAGGUUGGAAACUUCACUUUCACUUCUGUCUAAUUUGAAACUGUUGUUAGAACAAAUUACACUAUUAUUAAGUAUUACCAUUAUUAUGUUAACAACGCAUUGACGUUUUUAAUGGGGCAACGUUUUCUUGACAGCAGUACAGCCGAUUCUGUCACAGUCUAGAAGGUUGAAUCAUGAAUUAUGUAGAUAAAUAGUAAAACUGCACUCUAUAUUUGUUUGGUCCAUACUAACUAACAACAACUUCCCUUCAUUGGCAUUUGCAAAUAUAAAUUGUAAAAAUGGAAAAAACUAAAUUGUCCCAAUAAAAUAAAGAAUUCCAUCAAAAA
ensembl:lncRNA